rnacentral:piRNA from 1 species
CGCCAUGUUAGCCAGGCUAGUCUUGAAGUCC